UACAGAGGUCUCGAGCGUUAAUCGGAGUCACUGGGCUUAAAGGGUGCGUAGGCGGUCCCGCAAGUACUUUGUGAAAUCCCACGGCUCAACCGUGGAAUUGCUUGGUAGACUGCGGGGCUUGAGGUCGGUAGAGGUCGCUGGAACUCUAGGUGGAGCGGUGAAAUGCGUAGAUAUCUAGAGGAACGCCGAUGGUGAAGACAGGCGACUGGGCCGAUUCUGACGCUGAGGCACGAAAGCGUGGGGAGCAAAC
rnacentral:rRNA from 1 species